rnacentral:lncRNA from 1 species
GGGGGGUGUUGGGGAUCAGGACCCCCUAGGAUGGGGAUGUCCCUGUCACUGGGGGGUGUUGGGGAUCAGGACCCCCUAGGAUGGGGAUGUCCCUGUCACUGGCUGACACUCAGGGUGAGGAGGUACUCCUGAGGGGUUCUCAGGCUCAGGAGCCCCUGGGCUGGGAUGUCUGUGCCCCCUGUCCCCUUGGGGUGCUCGGGGUGGCUAUUCAGCCAUGGCAGAGGUUUGCGGGGGUUGGAGGGUGUCCCAGCCCCGCAGCCCCAGGGUGGGAGCUGGCACGUGCUUGGCACGGGGUGCACGGCACAGGGUGCACGGCACGGGGAGCUGGCACAGGGUGCUUGGCACAGGCUGGUACGUGACUUUGAGCAGGGCUGGAGGAGGAGGGGGAGGAAGCACAGCUGGGCCCUUCCAGCCUGAACACAGCUGGGGCUGGGGGCUGGGGUUGUCGGGGGUCCCUGUGGGACCAAACCCCGUUCCAUGCCCUCGGCUGCUGGGGCUGGGCAUGAAGGAAGGGAUGGGGAUUCUCUGGUGUCUGACAAGGGUCGUGCCCUGCUCCUGCCUUGCUUCUCUCCCUUCUCUCCUGCCCCUUCCAGGAGCUGGAUGUCCCAAGGACUUUGCCCCAUCGAUGCCAACAGCCAGGAAGGACCAGGAGGUGCUCUGGGAAGGAGCUGGCAGAGCAGCAGCCCUGGAAAGCUCCCUCCGAGCCAGCAAGGAAAGCCCAGGCUUGCCGGAACAUUUGUUCCCAGUUAGGAUGAGGCUCCGCGCCGCCCCCCCGGGCAGGGAAUGCUCCGUGCCAGGGAAAGUUUGAGCGAGAUCUGGUUAAAAACCCCCCUGGUUCCAGCUCCUGGGCGCUGCCCUCCUGCCAAGGGGAUCGAGUCUGUAAAUGAGGCGUCCCAGCUGCCCCCCAGACCUCACUGAGGGCCCGGGUUUCCUGGCAUUUCCACAUUCCUCCAGGAACAAGCGCCAUAAACUAUCCUGACGGAGAUGCAGGUGGGUAAACUGAGGCACGGCAUCUCUCUGCCGGACCAAAUUUGGCUGUGAGUGCUGUGCCGGGAGGUCGGGUCUGGCUGCUCCCACCAACCUUUCGGGGCUGGCAGAGCCCCUGGGUUCCCUCAGCCCUCGGACGGUGCCUCCACCCACCUCGGCCUGGCGGCU